rnacentral:rRNA from 1 species
GAGUUUGAUCCUGGCUCAGGACGAACGCUGGCGGCGUGCUUAACACAUGCAAGUCGAACGCUGAAGCAUCUUCGGGUGUGGAUGAGUGGCGAACGGGUGAGUAACACGUGGGUAAUCUGCCCUGCACUCUGGGAUAAGCCCUGGAAACGGGGUCUAAUACCGGAUAGGACAUUCUGCCGCAUGGCGGGGUGUGGAAAGUUCCGGCGGUGCAGGAUGAGCCCGCGGCCUAUCAGCUUGUUGGUGGGGUGAUGGCCUACCAAGGCGACGACGGGUAGCCGGCCUGAGAGGGUGACCGGCCACACUGGGACUGAGACACGGCCCAGACUCCUACGGGAGGCAGCAGUGGGGAAUCUUGCGCAAUGGGCGAAAGCCUGACGCAGCAACGCCGCGUGGGGGAUGACGGCCUUCGGGUUGUAAACCUCUUUCGACAGGGACGAAGCCUUCGGGUGACGGUACCUGUAGAAGAAGCACCGGCUAACUACGUGCCAGCAGCCGCGGUAAUACGUAGGGUGCGAGCGUUGUCCGGAUUUAUUGGGCGUAAAGAGCUCGUAGGCGGUUUGUCGCGUCGGCCGUGAAAACCUGCAGCUUAACUGUGGGCGUGCGGUCGAUACGGGCAGACUUGAGUUCGGCAGGGGAGACUGGAAUUCCUGGUGUAGCGGUGAAAUGCGCAGAUAUUAGGAGGAACACCGGUGGCGAAGGCGGGUCUCUGGGC